UAAUAGCACUAUUUUAGCACGCAGGGCUGAUUAAAGUGCUACUUGAUUACUUGGGUAUUGUGGAAGUGCCUGUGAAAAUAUAUGAAAAGAUGAAACGGAACGAAUACUGGGAAAUUUAUGGACGUCACUUUUGAAUUGUUCUCUGGGCAUGGGUGACCGAUCACACACACACGGCUCGGGUGGUUUGGAGUUGUUUACAAACGUGGCAGAUUUCACGGUGUUUAGUCGCAUUAUGUUUGUUCAGCAGCAGUUUAGCAGAUGGGAGUAAAUUUGUGAUGAAUUCGAAGUGAAAAGGAAGAAUAAAAACAAACCAAAAGUCGACUGAAAGUGAAACAUAUUGUGGGUUAAUCGUAAAGCAGUGUGUUGGAGAUUGAUACUGUGUUGCAAAAAGUCAGCGAUUAAAAUCGAUUUUGUUGGAGUGGAAUUAGAGUGCAAUAAACUACAUACGUUGCAUGCUUAUAUUUGAAGCACUGUAAACCAGUUGAUUAAAGAGAGUUGAAAGCACCAGAGCUGUUAACCACUGUGCCGUCGUCGUCGUCGUCGUCCAAGUAUAGAAACGUUGUCGUCGUGGUCGUCUUUAUCAGUCAGUACCCAUCCCCAUCAUCAUCGUCAGCUCUCCGCUCCACAGUCAGCUUAACGCUACGUACGAGUUUAGAAGUGAUCGCCUACGGUUAAUCCGCUAGUUGUGUUCUGCUCAAGAAACGAUCAUCCUAAACUCAUUCGGUGAACCGAGUCGUCGGAUAUUGGCGCAAAGUGGAAGAAGAUACGCGGGAAAGGGAUUUCCGAGAAUACUGUGAUAAAGCCAUUAUUAGAAAAAAAUUGUGUCGAGUUAAGUCAAACAAGUGCUUUUUCGGUUUCCAAAAGUGAAAGUGUUGUUUACAGUCCAAGAUAAGGUGUCAUAAAACCCAAGGGGAAAACCGAAAUCUAGUCCUACAUUGUAUUCUGUGUAACAAAAAA